rnacentral:tRNA from 1 species
GGAGAGAUAGCGAAGAGGCUAAACGCGGCGGACUGUAAAUCCGCUCCUUCGGGUUCGGGGGUUAGAAUCCCUGUCUCUCCA